rnacentral:rRNA from 1 species
AGAGUUUGAUCCUGGCUCAGAGCGAACGCUGGCGGCAGGCCUAACACAUGCAAGUCGAACGGACCCUUCGGGGUUAGUGGCGGACGGGUGAGUAACACGUGGGAACGUGCCUUUAGGUUCGGAAUAGCUCCUGGAAACGGGUGGUAAUGCCGAAUGUGCCCUUCGGGGGAAAGAUUUAUCGCCUUCAGAGGGGCCCGCGUCUGAUUAGCUAGUUGGUGAGGUAAUGGCUCACCAAGGCGACGAUCAGUAGCUGGUCUGAGAGGAUGACCAGCCACAUUGGGACUGAGACACGGCCCAAACUCCUACGGGAGGCAGCAGUGGGGAAUCUUGCGCAAUGGGCGAAAGCCUGACGCAGCCAUGCCGCGUGAAUGAUGAAGGUCUUAGGAUUGUAAAAUUCUUUCACCGGGGACGAUAAUGACGGUACCCGGAGAAGAAGCCCCGGCUAACUUCGUGCCAGCAGCCGCGGUAAUACGAAGGGGGCUAGCGUUGCUCGGAAUUACUGGGCGUAAAGGGCGCGUAGGCGGAUCGUUAAGUCAGAGGUGAAAUCCCGGAGCUCAACUUCGGAACUGCCUUUGAUACUGGCGAUCUUGAGUGUGAGAGAGGUAUGUGGAACUCCGAGUGUAGAGGUGAAAUUCGUAGAUAUUCGGAAGAACACCAGUGGCGAAGGCGACAUACUGGCUCAUUACUGACGCUGAGGCGCGAAAGCGUGGGGAGCAAACAGGAUUAGAUACCCUGGUAGUCCACGCCGUAAACGAUGAUUGCUAGUUGUCGGGCUGCAUGCAGUUCGGUGACGCAGCUAACGCAUUAAGCAAUCCGCCUGGGGAGUACGGUCGCAAGAUUAAAACUCAAAGGAAUUGACGG